rnacentral:lncRNA from 1 species
UGAAUGGAAUUGCAUACUCUCUACAGUUCCGGGACUCUCUCUUACACUAACUAGUGAGGGAAGAAGGAGGGGAGAAGGGGUGAAAGAAGUAGAGUAGAAAUAUAACCAAGGUGGGUGAGAGGCUUCCUGUGGGCAGCCUACACGUCUACAGCAGCCUUGAGCCAAAGCCUACAGAUGCCAGCCUACUGGACUCUGCGCAGUUGCUCUGUGCCCAUUUUGCCAAAGCUGUCCACACGUUCUUUCCUGAGGAUGAUAGUUCCCUUCAGCUGUCCUCAGUCCUCAUGUUCACCACAAUAUUUAUCUUCACUAUUCUUUUCUGUUGGCAAAAAUAUUUUUUGCAUCUUUCCAGAGAGGCAAAGAGUUCCAAAGAUGUUGUUUUCUUUGAGACGUAAGCACGUGGCUUAAGUGUGUAAGAAGGUUAAUACUAUCUACAGUCAAGGGGAAGGGUAUAACUAGUACUAAAGCCAAUGUGAGAGUUCAUGGGAUAUGCUGUUUGUAUGAAUUUACCUCCAGGGAGAUGAAACAUACAAACCAAGCUGAAUUGUAACUAGAGCAGGUGGACAUCACAUGUUUUAGAGACACCCACAAGGUUUCUUGUACCUCAAACCAUCAAACCAUAUAUCAUCUUUGAGAUAUAUAUAUAUACAUAUAUAUAUGUAUAUAUAUAUAUGUAUCCUUCUGAGUUUCAAGAAUAAGUACAAUUUAGUUUGAUGGUUUCCUUAAACUUUACGUGAGCUUUGAGAGCCCGUGGUGAAUAGAAAAAUCCAGCAAAGUUAAAAAGAAAAAAAGAGUGUUCAAGGUGAAAAAAGGGUUCUGGUGUUGCAGGUCUGGUUGGUAGUUUUUACCCCAGAAUGACAGUGAAGCCAGUAAGACACCGUGAUUGUUUUAUAAGGACACAGCACAACUGCCUUCUCAUGACCUUUUCUUAAAUGCAUAUAUACUGUAUUUAAAAUUAAAGUAUAGAUACCACUUUACCAAAGAUACACAUUACUAAUUCUAAGCAAAAAAAAAAGAUAUUUAAAAAAACCCCAAACUCAUCAUAAUUUAAGAAAAAGUCAUCAAAAUAUAGUUCUGUUACAGCUUUUGCAAUUCCGCUGGAGAAUGCAUUCUCAACCCCGAUGUUCUAAAGUUUCUGUUCAAACGGUGCCAGUAAAUGUUUAUAUGAAGGGAAUGCCUGCUCUUUUCCUCCAUAGCAGCUGUAAUUCAUGCAGCCUUUUGUACUUUCCCUUAGUUCCCACCUAACACAGCAUUGGCUUUAUUUAUCUCUAGAAAGAAGGCAUGGUCAAAAAAAAUUAAUAAAGGAAAUUAUAAUGACAUUUGGCCUCUACUUUUGUCUUAGCCAUUAAAAUGUUUUUAGUAUUUUUGUUAAAUAUUUGCAAAGGGAAGCCUUUUCUACAGAGAAUAAUUAAUUUCAAGAAAAACUAUCUUGAGUUUUAAGGAAUAAACCUCUCCAGAAAAGGAGACAGUCAAUUUUAUAAAAUGUCGUAACUCUCCAACAUUUGGGGUAGUGACUCCUUUUUUGUUAGGACAUUUGAGACUAGCAAGCAGCCGUUGUUUCUAAAGAACCCCACCUCCGUGUCAACGCCUGUCUCUUUCGCUUCAUUCUCAAACAGCUAAAAACACGCUAAACCUGUAAAUAUUUUGUUGCUUGAGUAAGCAUCUUCUGGGAGCUUUGUAUCUAUGGUAUAUAAUCAUAGAAUUUUAUAUUUUCAUAUAAAGCUAAUUUUUUUCUAGUUUCAAUGAUGUCACGGUUCUUUUUGUUGUUUUUCCCCCCCGUGGUGGAUAUGUGAACUUCUGUGUAUUGAAGUAGAACCAUCUUUGCAUUCCAAAAGACUCCGUGUGUUCUUCCUUUGAGGUAGUGAUUGUGAAUGUCGGGCAUUCUUUUUAAUUCCAUUGACCAUUAGCGCAAUAGCAAUUAGACAUGACUAGUCGCUGAAUACAUUUAUCACAUUGACCCAUUUUGGAAAAAGUGAUUUUUUUUUUUUAAAGAUUUGUUCCGUGGGAGGGGAGGGGUUUUAUAACCUGAAAUUUUUUCCCUUUUUCCUUCUGUUUAAAACUAUAUCAAAUCAUUCUAUUAUAGUGUUAUUUAAUAUGUAAAUUGUAUUGCUAUACAUAAAAUAAAGUAUGGUUUUUGAUGU